UGCCAAGUGGUGCCAUGUCCGCACCCGGGAUCCGAACCGGGGAACGCCGGGCAGCCGAGAAGCAGGACAUGCAAACUUAACCUCUGUGCCACUGGGCCGGCCCCUGAGGCGUAAAUGCUUUUCUGUUGACCGGAGCUGACCCUUUACCAGCGUUCCUGUCGUGCUGAUUAAGGAUGAAGACAAAGAUAGACUGACCCCAGGGGUCGGACCACCAGACCAGGUCUGCAGACCCUGUUUUUGGCCACCAGUCACUAUGGGAUUUGGAGUGACGCCAGCAUCCUGGGGCUUCGGCCCUCCCCCUUGGGAACACCCCCCAGGACUCCUUCCUCGUGCUUCUCCGGCCUGCAGACCAUUGGCCUGAGACUCGGUCACCAGCAAAGCCCAUUCAUCAGCCCCUACAGACACGGUGUUCUCGUCCCUCCUGACUUCUCGGAACCGUGGUGGUUUGGGCCAGUUUGGAAGAUGAAGAAAACAAGAGGAGGCCAGGCAGUUCCCCGGGAAUGGCUCCUCGCGUGUCAUCUUGCACAAAAGGGGAACAAGGCACAUCGUGUAGGUGAACUUGCUACUUUUUAUGUGAGUGCCGACCAGCUGUGCAGGAAACUAAGGAGGUUGGUAAGUGGGGGGUCCGAGCCGAGAGAACACGGGGCUAGAGGACACGCUCCGGGCAAGUGUCAUCUUUCUAAAUUCCAGGCUGACUUUCUGAGUUGCAGCAUUCAUUAGUCAUUCAUGGAACGAAAAAAAUACGAACCAUAUUUUUAAACAGUGUACGAAUCAAAAGUAAUUUAUUUUUAAUUGGAAGUUAGUUUUCUACAUAGGAAAGCAUCCCAAAAUGUGUUCCCCCUAAUUUUUAUUAACGUGAAUAAAACCUGUCUGCCA